GAAGACUAACAUUUGAACACUGUCUGAAGUUUGCAGUCUGAGUUUUUAGUUAAACAAUAAUUAAAACUUUCAACAACGGAUCUCUUGGUUCCGGCAUCGAUGAAGAACGCAGCGAAAUGCGAUAAUUAAUGUGAAUUGCAGAAUUCAGUGAAUCAUCGAGUCUUUGAACGCACAUUGCGCCCCCUGGUAUUCCGGGGGGCAUGCCUGUCCGAGCGUCAUUGCUGCCCUCAAGCACGGCUUGUGUGUUGGGCUUCCGUCCCUGGUAACGGGGACGGGCCCAAAAGGCAGUGGCGGCACCAUGUCUGGUCCUCGAGCGUAUGGGGCUUUGUCACCCGCUCCCGUAGGUCCAGCUGGCAGCUAGCCUCGCAACCAAUCUUUUUAACCAGGUUGACCUCGGAUCAGGUAGGGAUACCCGCUGAACUUAAGCAUAUCAAUAAGCGGAGGAAAAGAAACCAACAGGGAUUGCCUCAGUAACGGCGAGUGAAGCGGCAAGAGCUCAAAUUUGAAAUCUGGCUCCUUCGGGGUCCGAGUUGUAAUUUGUAGAGGAUGCUUCGGGUGCGGCCCCCGUCUAAGUGCUCUGGAACGGGCCAUCGGAGAGGGUGAAAAUCCCGUCUGGGAUGGGGUGUCCGCGUCCAUGUGAAGCUCCUUCGACGAGUCGA
rnacentral:rRNA from 1 species